CGAGCGAGACCUUCGGGUCUAGCGGCGGACGGGUUAGUAACGCGUGGGAAUAUACCCUUUGGUACGGAAUAGCCUCGGGAAACUGAGAGUAAUACCGUAUGUGCCCUUCGGGGGAAAGAUUUAUCGCCAAAGGAUUAGCCCGCGUUGGAUUAGGUAGUUGGUGGGGUAAUGGCCUACCAAGCCUACGAUCCAUAGCUGGUUUGAGAGGAUGAUCAGCAACACUGGGACUGAGACACGGCCCAG
rnacentral:rRNA from 1 species